GACGAACGCUGGCGGCGUGCUUAACACAUGCAAGUCGAACGGACAGGCCCUGCUUUUGUGGGGUGCUCGUGUGGCGAACGGGUGAGUAACACGUGAGUAACCUGCCCUUGACUUUGGGAUAACUUCAGGAAACUGGGGCUAAUACCGGAUAGGAGCUCCUGCUGCAUGGUGGGGGUUGGAAAGUUUCGGCGGUUGGGGAUGGACUCGCGGCUUAUCAGCUUGUUGGUGGGGUUGUGGCUUACCAAGGCUUUGACGGGUAGCCGGCCUGAGAGGGUGACCGGCCACAAUGGGACUGAGAGACGGCCCAGACGCCAACGGGAGGCAGCAGUGGGGAAUAUGGCGCAAUGGGCGGAAGCCUGAUGCAGCAACGCCGCGUGCGGGAUGACGGCCUUCGGGUUAUAAACCGCUUUCGCCGGUGACGAAGCGUGAGUGACGGUAAUGGGUAAAGAAGCACCGGCUAACUACGUG
rnacentral:rRNA from 1 species